AUCCAGUUAAUGAGUCCCAAAUAGGACGAAAAGCGCGCCCUGGAU
rfam:Schistosoma haematobium scaffold502_37, whole genome shotgun sequence.